AACGCACAUUGCGCCCAUUAGUAUUCUAGUGGGCAUGCCUGUUCGAGCGUCAUUUCAACCCUUAAGCCUAGCUUAGUGUUGGGAGACUGCCUAAUACGCAGCUCCUCAAAACCAGUGGCAGAGUUUUUACGUACUCUGAGCGCAGUAAUUCUAUUCUCGCUUUUGAACACGUCUAGACGAUAGCCAAAAACCGCUUGCCUCGGCAGCACUUUUUAAUGGUUGACCUCGGAUCAGGUAGGAAUACCCGCUGAACUUAA
rnacentral:misc_RNA from 2 species